rnacentral:rRNA from 1 species
AGCGAACGCUGGCGGCAGGCCUAACACAUGCAAGUCGAACGAACCUUUCGGGGUUAGUGGCGGACGGGUGAGUAACACGUGGGAACGUGCCUUUAGGUUCGGAAUAACUCAGGGAAACUUGUGCUAAUACCGAAUGUGCCCUUCGGGGGAAAGAUUUAUCGCCUUUAGAGCGGCCCGCGUCUGAUUAGCUAGUUGGUUGAGGUAAUGGCUCACCAAGGCGACGAUCAGUAGCUGGUCUGAGAGGAUGAUCAGCCACAUUGGGACUGAGACACGGCCCAAACUCCUACGGGAGGCAGCAGUGGGGAAUCUUGCGCAAUGGGCGAAAGCCUGACGCAGCCAUGCCGCGUGAAUGAUGAAGGUCUUAGGAAUGUAAAAUUCUUUAACCGGGGACGAUAAUGACGGUACCCGGAGAAGAAGCCCCGGCUAACUUCGUG